rnacentral:rRNA from 1 species
CCUGAACGCUGGCGGCGUGGCUAAGACAUGCAAGUCGUACGGUCCCGAGCAAUCGGGACAGUGGCGAACGGGUGAGUAAUGAAUCGCUAAUGUGCCCCGGACUCUGGGAUAGCUUUCCGAAAGGAAAGGUAAUACCAGAUGAGACCACGAACAGGCAUCUGUUUGUGCUCAAAGGUCCGCCGGUCUGGGAGCAGGCGAUUUCGUAUCAGCUAGUUGGUGAGGUAACGGCNCACCAAGGCGACGACGCGUAGCCGGACUGAGAGGUUGGCCGGCCACAUUGGGACUGAGACACUGCCCAGACUCCUACGGGGGGCUGCAGUAACGAAUCUUCCGCAAUGCACGAAAGUGUGACGGAGCGACGCCGCGUGGAGGAC